GUAGCGGCGAGCGAACCUGGAUUAGCCCUUAAGCACUCGGUGAAGUAGGUGAACAAGCUGGAAAGCUUGGCGAUACAGGGUGAUAGCCCCGUAACCGACGCUUCAUCGAGCGUGAAAUCGAGUAGGGCGGGACACGUGAUAUCCUGUCUGAAUAUGGGGGGACCAUCCUCCAAGGCUAAAUACUCCUGACUGACCGAUAGUGAACCAGUACCGUGAGGGAAAGGCGAAAAGAACCCCUGUGAGGGGAGUGAAAUAGAACCUGAAACCGUGUACGUACAAGCAGUAGGAGCACCUUCGUGGUGUGACUGCGUACCUUUUGUAUAAUGGGUCAGCGACUUAUAUUCAGUGGCAAGGUUAACCGUAUAGGGGAGCCGUAGCGAAAGCGAGUCUUAACUGGGCGCUCAGUCUCUGGAUAUAGACCCGAAACCGGGUGAUCUAGCCAUGGGCAGGUUGAAGGUUGAGUAACAUCAACUGGAGGACCGAACCGACUAAUGUUGAAAAAUUAGCGGAUGACUUGUGGCUAGGGGUGAAAGGCCAAUCAAACUCGGAGAUAGCUGGUUCUCCCCGAAAGCUAUUUAGGUAGCGCCUCGGACGAAUACUACUGGGGGUAGAGCACUGUUAAGGCUAGGGGGUCAUCCCGACUUACCAACCCUUUGCAAACUCCGAAUACCAGUAAGUACUAUCCGGGAGACACACGGCGGGUGCUAACGUCCGUCGUGGAGAGGGAAACAA
rnacentral:rRNA from 1 species